rnacentral:rRNA from 1 species
UGCUCGAGAGAAGGGGCGAGGAGAGAGAGAGCCAAGCGACACUCUGCGUCUUUAAGGGGUGAGGAGGGUGGGUUUAGAGUACCUGGUCAACACUAAUUCCUUCCCGCGCCGGCCGCCCCUUGGCACCGGCACUAACCUACCCCAGCAGCUCCUGGUACCGCCGCCUCGUCCGGUACAGGUCCGUGGCCUAGCUGUCCGAGAUCCGCGUCUAGAUGUUCGUGGCCCGCGGUAGGGGCAGCCGCCGGGUGUGCAACGACGAGGUCGUGGGCGCCGUCAUCUUCACCCGCGCGGGCUGUCUGGAGUAGAGCAGUCCCCGCAGGUGCAGCUUCAUCUACAGCGCCCGCACCCCGCGUAGCAACUGCCGGUAUCUCUGCUGCUACGGCAGAUGCCCUUCCGGCUGUUGCAGCGCGCACACGUCGAGCAGGCUCGUGGUGAUGAGGGUCUGCGGAACCCGCGAGGUAAACUUCACGGCCUCGUACCGCAGCAGAACCUGCUGUACUCUGUUUUAAAAGUCACGUUCCCCCGUUCAACAUAGGUGGUGAAUCCGUUAAAAGUCCUUUUAUGACCGAACACUAACUAAGAUGUUGACUUGACCUGACGUCAACGAGAUGUAGCUCUUAACAACCCCGGAGGUAACAUCCCACUAACGAGUCGGGCACAGUUCCUUAACCUACCUACCUACAACCGACUUGACUUAACCUACCUACAACCGACUUAACGAGUCGGGCACAGUUCUUUCGAAGUCUGUUUUUCUAACGAGUCGGGUACAGUUGACUUGACUUAACCUACCUACAACCGAUGGCCGGCCGACUACAUCGUCCUUUCCUUUCAAGUCCGGCUCCAACGUGUAAUACGUUACGCGGCUACUUCUUCGUUGCUUAAAAGUGAUCAUGAGGAUCAUAAUACCACGCUGCUACUCCCUACGUGUUUGUUCGACACCGGUCACCCUCUCCGUUCCCCUGGACAAGUGGCGACGUUCUCCCUACAGCUUCCUUGGUUUUCACCUUCGAUCGUAUCGCUGUGGUACAAGUAAACAGAAGUUCUCCACAUCACGUUUUUUUACUAUGAUCAACGGGCCCCUGGUCCACGAAAAAAGAGAAGCUACCCACCAGUGUGUUCUGCUACCCCACCUUCUUCUUUCUUCUCCCUCUCCUUCUUCCCGCACCCCUGUCGAACCCUCUCUUCUUCUUUCCUCUCUCCCCCGUUACGAAAACCACUUCGCGCACUUCCCUCCCUCUCUUCGACCCACCUGCCUCCCUGCACACUCUGCCACUUGGGAAAGGAAAGGUUUAGACCUGACUCCCCCUGGUUUUGUAUGGAUUAUACCCUCCGACGGUCCCCCGUGAUCGCCCGUGUGCAAACGGUCGAUCAUCUGCGCAGGUUUUUUAUUUGUUUCAGGAGUAUACACCGUAAAGUGGUAGUGUAUACACCACACCUAUUCUAGCGAUGAACAGGAGUUAUUUAGAACUGUGGCUGUUUUGUUGAGCUGGGAGGGCUUAUUAACUUGGCUAGAGCCGUGGUUAACUUUGCCUUAACGUG